CAGCGCAAGUCAUCCUCACACCUUCCAGCAGAAGUCGCCUGGACUACCGCGGCCUCCAAUUCAGCCUCCCGGAUCUUACCUCUAGCUUUCAAGGAGACUGACAAAGGUGCGGUGCUCCCACGGUUGCCCCUCCCCUGCCUGGUCCACCUCUGGUUCUCUUCGGAGUCGGUGGCUCCGGCUGGCCAGUCGUGGAUCUCAGAGGCCGUGGCAUGCACCAGGGAAACCAGGCCGCAGGGACCACCAGCUGUACCUGCCAGUCUUCUGCGCCCGCUUUGCAUUCAGCGGCAGGCAGCUUCGGCUUGGUGAAUUCUGCGCUGGCCUUCGGGACCCCCUGGGUCUUGUCCUCCAGGCUGCAGUGCAAUGGGGCAAUCACAGCUCACUGCAACAUCUGCCUCCUAUGCUCAAGUGAUCCUCCUGUCUCAGUCACUUGUGUAGCUGGUACUACAGGCUGUACAAGAAACAAGGCACCAGAACCUGCCUCUGGUGAGGAGCUCGGGAAGCUUCCAAUCAUGGCGGAGGAGGAGGCGUCUUACCUGGCGACACAGGGAGCAAGAGAGAGAGGAAAGGGGUGCCACUGUCUUUUAAACAAAGAGCUAUUUUUUGAACUAAUAGAGCAAGAACUCAUUCAUUACCUUGUGGGGGCACCAAGCCAUUCAUAAGGGAUCCACCUCGAUGACCCAGACACCUCCCACUCAGCCUCACCUGCAACACUGAAGAUCAAAUUCCAGCAAAGAUUUGGAGGAGACCAAAUAUUCAAACCAUAGCCACAUGAGGGAUGUGUGUAUGAUUAUAUGCAGAUUCCAAUAAAUCAGGAUUGAAG
rnacentral:lncRNA from 1 species